rnacentral:tRNA from 1 species
GGGGUUAUAGCUCAGUGGAAGAAUGUGUACUUAGCAUGCAUGAGAUCUGGGUUCAAUCCCCAGCACCUCCA